AGCCAUGCAUGUUUAUGAAGCGAAUAUAUUGCGGAUUGAUAGACGGCUCAGUAAUACUGCGAUGAUUUGAUUGAUUGUGUGUUGUAACUACGGGAAACUGUAGGUAGGGCAUGAUAGUGUAUUUUUGAUUGUACAUGUGUUGAGUAAGUUGCAGGCCUAUCAACUGGUAGUUAGGGUAAUGGCCUAACUAGGUAUUGACGGGAGACGGGGGAUUAGGGUUUGAUUCCGGAGAGGGAGCCUGAGAGAUGGCUACUACGUCCAAGGAUGGCAGCAGGCGCGAAACUUGCCUAAUCUUUGUAGUAGGAGGCAGUGAUGAGACGUGAGAUGAUUGUGGUGCAUUGUAAAGAGAUGUGCUGAUAUUGGAGGGCAAGUCGGGUGCCAGCAGCCGCGGUAAUACCUGCUCCGAUAGUGUCUAUGGUUUAUGCUGCAGUUAAAAAGUCCGUAGUUUUUAUAUUUGUUGUAUGUUUUGUGAUGCCUGUGAUUUUUGCGGGCUAUGGAUGUAUGACUAGUUGUGCGCAACGGAUGAGGGGUAUUGGAUAGUUGGGCGAGAGGUGAAAUGUGAUGACCCUGACUGGACGAACUGAAGCGAAAGCGAUACUCUUAGAUGGAUGUGUGGAUCAAGGACGAAGGCUGGAGGAUCGAAAUCGAUUAGAUACCGUUUUAGUUCCAGCAGUAAACGAUGCCGACUGGAUGGUGUUUGUAUGAGCACUGUGCGAGAGAAAUUGAUAAGUAUGUGGGUUUUGGGGAUAGUAUGUUCGCAAGAGUGAAACUUAAAGAGAUU
rnacentral:rRNA from 1 species